rnacentral:rRNA from 1 species
CUACGGGGGGCUGCAGCAGCGAAUCAUUUACAAUGCACGAAAGUGUGAUAAUGCGAACCAAAGUGCAUAUUCAUUUCGAAUAUGCUUUUCUUCACUGUAAAAAGGUGGAGGAAUAAGGACUGGGAAAGACCGGUGCCAGCCGCCGCGGUAAUACCGGCAGUUCAAGUCGCAUCCAUUUUUAUUGGGUCUAAAACAUCCGUAGCUUGUCGAUUAAGUCUCUUGUGAAAUCCUGUGUCUCAAGCACAGGGCUGGCGGGAGAUACUGAUCGACUAGAGAUCGGUAGACGUAAGGAGUACAUCGGAGGUAGUGGUAAAAUACGUUAAUCUUCGAUGGACUAACAAUGAGCGAAGGCACCUUACGAGGACGAAUCUGACAGUGAGGGAUGAAGGCCAGGGGCGCAAAACGGAUUAGAUACCCGCGUAGUC